rnacentral:misc_RNA from 1 species
CUUCCCAACCAUACCUUGGGAUGGCUCCCUGGCGGCGUCGGGCUAGCGGAGAGGCUGCGCGGUGGGGCGACCUUGAGCACGAGGCGGCGGCGACUCGAGAUGCUGCAUGGGCAGCCAUGCUCGCGCGCGGGCGGCUGCUGGUUCCAGCGCGGGCAGGAUCGCGUGGGCAGCCGGGAUCCUGCGCGGACGGCUGCUGGUGGUACAGCGCGGGCAGGAGGCGGUCGCUGCUGGUUCCAACGUGGGCAGGUCGGCAAGAGGCAAUGACCUUGAGCGCGACGCAGCAGGGCUCCACGGGCGGUGGCAACCUGCUCCACGCGACAACCUUGUCCACGCGGGUGGCCAACGGCUCCAAGGCGACGAGCAGAUCCAAGGCGUGUGGCAGUGGCAGCGAGUGGUCCCUGAGCUGACAUUGCGGAGUGCCGGGCAACGCCAUGGAGAGCAGCAGGUAUUGACAUUGCAGAGUGCUACUUUGGUCA